CGGCUUAGACGUGCAACAGCAUAGUAACUAAGACAAUAAAGGUUGUGGAAAAAAAAAAUAUCUUGCACAGGACUUUAUAUACUUCAUAUACCCCUGUGGCUGCCUGGGGUUGAGCCCCCCCAAAAGUCAGAACCUAGACUCGCCCCUGGUUGCCAUUAUUGACUCUAGAUCCCUAGAACGUUUUCCAUAUGCAUGGGCUCUUUAUGGUCUUACUGCAACCUUAUGUUUUGAAAAAUAUGUCUCUACUUAUUUCUAAGAAAUUUCUUUUAAGCAAAAAUGUCAAUAUAAUUUUUUUUUUAGCAACAUUUUCAGUAGCGUCGCCAUUAUUGACUCUAGAGCCCCAAAACUUGUUCAAUAGAGGCAUGGCCUAUUUAUGCUCCUACUACAACCUUUGUGAUGGGGAGAGGGCAGGGAGUGGGAAGAUGCAUUGGUUUGAGGCACAGACCUUUUUGAUUGUUGUAGUAUUUGGGUUAUGGGAUUUUAAUGUAUAGGGUGGUUGUUGAUAUAAAUAUUUUUUGUUAAAUAAAUGUAAAUAAUGUUUUUAAAGAUUAUACUUACACAUAGAAACCUCCCGGCAGGGUGUGCUUUGCGAGCAAAUAAAAAAAAUUGCGUGCGAAAAA